AGGACGAACGCUGGCGGCGUGCUUAACACAUGCAAGUCGAGCGGAAAGGCCCUUCGGGGUACUCGAGCGGCGAACGGGUGAGUAACACGUGAGCAACCUGCCCUUAGCUCCGGGAUAGCUCCGGGAAACCGGAAUUAAAUACCGGAUAUGACCUAGGCCGACAUCGGCUGUGGUGGAAAGUUUUUCGGCUGGGGAUGGACUCGCGGCCUAUCAGCUUGUUGGUGGGUAAUGGCCUACCAAGGCGACGACGGGUA
rnacentral:rRNA from 1 species